ensembl:lncRNA
CUGGAGUCAGGUCAGGAACGCCUUAGACAUUUGCUGAUUGUCCUGUGGAUGAAGCAAAGCUCCAGAUAGGCAUGGAGAAAGGCAUUGGGCCCAGGCCCAGGGGGUGCUACCUCUGGCCCUAUUUGCCCAAAAGCCCACUGUCCACUGGUGGGCUUUCCCCAGCCUAGCCCAUCAGGAACAACUUCCUGAUGGUCUCAGGACGUGCUUACCCCAGGAAUUCUCAACCUUUACACUCACAGUCCUGGUGGAUGCUAUGUGGGGCACAGGGAGAAAAGACAUCAAUGACCCGGCUGUGAGGGCUACGACCUGCAGUCUGCCAGAGGCAGUCUGCAGUCCUCAGAGGUAUUUUGUCUUCCCUCAUUUCUGUACUCUAGUAACACAGAAACAAGCAUCACUAGAGAAGGAAACCAUGGACUGGAAGCUCUUGAUAAAAUGUCCCCUGCACAUGGAUGUCCUGACACUGCUUGGAAAGGUGCCAACAGAUGAGCUUCUCCCCAGGUCAUCUAGGUCCCCCACUCCCAGCAUG